rnacentral:tRNA from 1 species
GGGAAUGUAGCUUAGUGGUAGAGUGCUUGUCUAGCAUGCAUGAAGCCCUGAGUUCAAUUCCUCAGUACCA